rnacentral:rRNA from 1 species
ACUGCGUACCUUUUGUAUAAUGGGUCAGCGACUUAUAUUCUGUAGCAAGGUUAACCGUAUAGGGGAGCCGGAGGGAAACCGAGUCUUAAUUGGGCGUUAAGUUGCAGGGUAUAGACCCGAAACCCGGUGAUCUAGCCAUGGGCAGGUUGAAGGUUGGGUAACACUAACUGGAGGACCGAACCGACUAAUGUUGAAAAAUUAGCGGAUGACCUGUGGCUGGGGGUGAAAGGCCAAUCAAACCGGGAGAUAGCUGGUUCUCCCCGAAAGCUAUUUAGGUAGCGCCUCGUGAAUUCAUCUCCGGGGGUAGAGCACUGUUUCGGCUAGGGGGCCAUCCCGGCUUACCAACCCGAUGCAAACUGCGAAUACCGGAGAAUGUUAUCACGGGAGACACACGGCGGGUGCUAACGUCCGUCGUGAAGAGGGAAACAACCCAGACCGCCAGCUAAGGUCCCAAAGUCAUGGUUAAGUGGGAAACGAUGUGGGAAGGCCCAGACAGCCAGGAUGUUGGCUUAGAAGCAGCCAUCAUUUAAAGAAAGCGUAAUAGCUCACUGGUCGAGUCGGCCUGCGCGGAAGAUGUAACGGGGCUAAACCAUGCACCGAAGCUGCGGCAGCGACGCUGAUGCGUUGUUGGGUAGGGGAGCGUUCUGUAAGCCUGCGAAGGUGGCCUGUGAGGGUUGCUGGAGGUAUCAGAAGUGCGAAUGCUGACAUAAGUAACGAUAAAGCGGGUGAAAAGCCCGCUCGCCGGAAGACCAAGGGUUCCUGUCCAACGUUAAUCGGGGCAGGGUGAGUCGACCCCUAAGGCGAGGCCGAAAGGCGUAGUCGAUGGGAAACGGGUUAAUAUUCCCGUACUUGGUGUUACUGCGAAGGGGGGACGGAGAAGGCUAUGUUGGCCGGGCGACGGUU